ACUCAAAUGAAUAGACGGGGGCCCGCACAAGCGGUGGAGCAUGUGGUUUAAUUCGACGCAACGCGCAGAACCUUACCCAGACUUGACAUCCAUGGAACGCUGCAGAGAUGUGGCGGUGCCCGCAAGGGAACCAUGAGACAGGUGCUGCAUGGCUGUCGUCAGCUCGUGUCGUGAGAUGUUGGGUUAAGUCCCGCAACGAGCGCAACCCUCGCCUUUAGUUGCCAGCAUUCAGUUGGGCACUCUAGAGGGACUGCCGGUGUCAAGCCGGAGGAAGGUGGGGAUGACGUCAAGUCCUCAUGGCCUUUAUGUCUGGGGCUACACACGUGCUACAAUGGCCGGUACAAAGGGCAGCGAAGCCGCGAGGUGAAGCCAAUCCCAGAAAACCGGUCCCAGUUCGGAUCGAAGUCUGCAACUCGACUUCGUGAAGUCGGAAUCGCUAGUAAUCGCGGAUCAGAACGCCGCGGUGAAUACGUUCCCGGGCCUUGUACACACCGCCCGU
rnacentral:rRNA from 1 species